rnacentral:rRNA from 1 species
UACGGAGGGGUUAGCGUUGUUCGGAAUUACUGGGCGUAAAGCGCGCGUAGGCGGACCAGAAAGUUGGGGUGAAAUCCCGGGGCUCAACCCCGGAGCGGCCUCCAAAACUCCUGGUCUUGAGUUCGAGAGAGGUGAGUGGAAUUCCGAGUGUAGAGGUGAAAUUCGUAGAUAUUCGGAGGAACACCAGUGGCGAAGGCGGCUCACUGGCUCGAUACUGACGCUGAGGUGCGAAAGUGUGGGGAGCAAACAGG